GGCGCGCGCGCUUUCCGCGAGACCACCGACUAAGCGAGCAUGGGGAACGAAGACGACAAGACGGAGGUGAAGGCCGA
rnacentral:ribozyme from 1 species